rnacentral:rRNA from 1 species
UGCGUAGGCUGUUUAGUGUGUGUGUCUGUCAAGCUGACGGCUCAACCGUCGGAAUCGGACGCAAACUGCUAGACUAGAGUCUGCUAGGGGCAGGUGGAAUUCCAGGUGUAGUGGUGAAAUAUAUAGAUAUCUGGAGGAACACCCGUGGCGAAGGCGACCUGCUGGGGCUAGACUGACGCUGAGGCACGAAAGCCAGGGGAGCAAACGGGAUUAGAUACCCCGGUAGUCCUGGCUGUAAACGUUGUUCACUCGGUGAUAGGGGCGUCGAUCCUUCUAUUGCCUAAGCUAACGUGAUAAGUGAACCGCCUGGGGAGUAUGCGCGCAAGCGUGAA